rnacentral:rRNA from 1 species
GACGAACGCUGGCGGCGUGCUUAACACAUGCAAGUCGAACGAAAAGUUCCUGGUUCUUGCGCCGGCAAGACUGAGCGGCGAGCGGGUGACUAACACGUAAAGAACCUGCCUUUUAGACUGGGACAACUAAUGGAAACGAUAACUCAUAACGGAUAACAGCAUUAACUGCAUGGUUGAUGAUUGUAAGUGGGUUUUGCUAACACCAUGAGAUUGCUUUGCGGUGCAUUGGCUAGUUGGUGGGGUAAAGGUCUACCAAGGCGGCGAUGCAUAGCCGACCUGAGUGGGUGAUGGGCCACACUGGGACGGAGACACGGCCCUGGGUCCUACGGGAGGCAGCAGUAGGGAAUCGUCCGCAAUGGGGGAAAGCCUGACGGAGCGGCGGCACGUGAGUGAAGAAAGAUUUCGGUUCGGAAAGCUGUGUUGUUAGGGGAGAAUGAUUGUGUAGUAACUAUACACGGGAGUGACGGUACCGGGUAAGGAAGCAACGGCUAACUACGUG